UGCAGGUUAUCUGGGCUCUUUCUGUGACCUGGGAUUUUACACUCCCCUUCAGUGCAGACACCAAGACAGGAUGGACAAUACAGAGGAUUUUACUAGGGGAAACAUCUGUGAGAUAAAAAUGGGGAGGGAGCUGGUAGAGGCUAGAAGAGAGGAAAGGCUGGGAGAGCCAUCACACCUUGAUGCAAGUCUGACCUAAGUGCAGGAGGGAGGGAAGCAAGUUUGGGUGGAAGCUCCUAGACUGCCUAUAGCAAGGCCAUCAGAGAGUCCUCAAGCCAAAGUCACCUAUCAGAGAAGUUCCCUGUUUCUUGGAGACAGCCUCCUUCCUUGGUUCACAAUGACAGUCCAACUUCUGCCAGUCCUGACUGUCAUUCAAGCCUUUUUGCUAUUUAAGAAUUUUGAGGAAGAAAACCGUCAUGUACUCAAAAUCCUGGUAAUCAGAAGUGUCUGGAGAUUUCGAGCUG
rnacentral:misc_RNA from 1 species